rfam:Acinetobacter nectaris CIP 110549 genomic scaffold adgTG-supercont2.2, whole genome shotgun sequence.
UAUGCUUGCUGUAGUGAUGCACGGCAGACAGUUUUAGUUACUAGAAUUGUUUUCUAUCAGUUUUUAAAUUUUUAAGCAUCUCGGAGAAAUCGAAUGGCUUUAACUACACAAGAUCGCGCAGAAAUCGUUGCUAAAUUUGCUCGUGCAGAA